AAAUUCCAUAAAAAUAAUUAGACAAAAUUUAGAUUUUAUUACAUCUAAGUUAGAAGAUAAUAAUCAAAAUAUCCAAAGGUUUCCUUGCAAGAGAGAGAUAAAAGAGCUUAUUGACCUCAUAGAUAGUAAGUCUAAGCAAGUAGAACUUAGAUCACUAGAAAUAGUUAAGCAAUUAAAAUUAGAAGUUCAAAAAAAUUCAAUUAGUGCAAAAAGAGUUGAGUGAACAAGUAGAUAAGUUACAUGAUAAAAUAGAUAAAUUAUUCAAUUAGUGCAAAAAGAGUUGAGUGAACAAGCAUUUUAAUAGUAUAAUUAUAAUAGUAAAUUAUGUACCUUGGGAUAGGAAGUCAUUAACACAACUGAUAUCACACACUUGUUUAACUUUAUAUGAACAAUAGAUAUUAUUGUCUUUGUAGACCAUGUCAACCACAACCACCAUGUAUAUAUUAUCCUAGACAUCCAACUACAACUAACAUAAAGAGAAUAUUAGCAUAUAUUUGUAAAAUAAUUAGCAAGACUUUGAAAAAGUAGAAGUAUUAUCUUGGUUAUCUUGAACACCCUUCAUUUAUUAAUAAAUAUAAUAACACAGAAAUGCAGCAUAACGUAUUAGCAGCAAAAAAGAGUAACAUAUCAUACUUUAGAGACCUUGCGAGAAGAAAGAGAGUUUUUAAGAAACUAAUUAAUCAUAACUUUAGAGAUAGGUAGACUGUAGUUUAUGAUAGAUUAUCUUAAUUUAGAAAUUAGUAAACCUCAAAAAAGAAAAAUCACCCUAGACCAAAAUAGUUUAGUUUGUUAUUUUCCUUUGAGAAAGCAUAAUCAUAUUUUGCAUAGUGAAGAAGAUCUAUAAGCCAAUAGUAUUAUAGAUCUUAUUAUUAGUGAAGCAGAAAAUAUAGAACUAGAAAAUAAUAAGCAUAAUUAUUUGUUAAACUAGUUGUUAAAGCUUUUUUUAGAAAAAUUCCAUAAAAACGAUUAGACAAAAUUUAGAUUAUAUUACAUUGAAGUUAGAAGAUAAUAAUAAAAAUAUCCAAAGGUUUCCUUGCAAAAGAGAGAUAAAAGAUCUUAUUGAUAUAAUAGAUAGUAAGUCUAAGCAAGUAGAACUUAGAUCACUAUAAAUAGUUGAGCAAUUAAAAUUAGAAUAUCAAAUAAUUGAAUUAGUGCAAAAAUAGUUGAGUGAACAAGUAGAUAAGUUACAUGAUAAAAUAGACAAAUUAUUCAAUUAGUGCAAAAAGAGUUGAGUGAACAAGCAUUUUAAUAGUAUAAUUAUAAUAGUAAAUUAUGUACAUUCAGGUAAGAAGUCAUUAACACAACUGAUAUCACACACUUGUUUAAUUUUAUAUGAACAAUAUAUAUUAUUGUCUUUGUAGACGAUGUCAACCACAACCACCAUGUAUUUAUUAUCCUAGACAUCCAACUACAACUAGCAUAAAGAGAAUAUUAGCAUAUAUUUCAAAAAGAAUUAGCAAGACUUUGAAGAAGUAAAAGUUUUAUCCUGGUUAUCUUGAACACCCUUCAUUUAUUAAUAAAUAUAAUAACACAGAAGUGCAGCACAACGUAUUAGCAGCAAAAAAGAGUAACAUAUCAUACUUUAUAGACCUUGCGAGAAAAAAGAGAGUUUUUAAGAAACUAAUUAAUCAUAACUUUAGAGACAGGUAGAAUGUAGUUUAUGAUAGAUUAUCUUAAUUUAGAAAUUAGUGAACCUCAAAAAAGAAAAAUCACUCUAGACCAAAAUAGUUUAGUUUGUUAUUUUCCUUUGAGAAAACAUAAUCAUAUUUUGUAUAGUGAAGAAGAUCCACAAGCCAAUAGUAUUAUAUAUCUUAUUAUUAGUCAAGCAGAAAAUAUAAAACUAGAAAAUAAUAAGCAUAUUAUUUAUUAAAUUAGUUGUUAGAGCAUUUCAGAAAAAUUCCAUAAAAACAAUUAGACAAAAUUUAGAUUAUAUUACAUCUUAGUUAGAAGAUAAUAAUAAAAAUAUCCAAAAGUUUCCUUGCAAAAGAGAGAUAAAAGAGCUUAUUGACAUCAUAGAUAGUAAGUCUAAGCAAGUAGAACUUAGAUCACUAGAAAUAGUUGAGCAAUUAAAAUUAGAAGUUCAAAAAAUGCAAUUAGUGCAAAAAGAGUUGAGUGAAUAAGUAUAUAAAUUACAUGAUAAAAUAGAUAAAUUAUUCAAUUAGUGCAAAAAGAGUAGAGUGAACAGGCUUUUUAAUAGUAUAAUUAUAAUAGUAAAUUAAGUACCUUGAGGUAGGAAGUCAUUAACACAACUGAUAUCACACACUUGUUUAAUUUUAUAUGAACAAUAGAUAUUAUUGUCUUUGUAGACCAUGUCAACCACAACCACCAUGUAUUUAUUAUCCUAGACAUCCAACUACAACUAGCAUAAAGAGAAUAUUAGCAUAUAUUUCCAAAAGAAUUAACAAGACUUUGAAGAAGUAGAAGUUUUAUCGUGGUUAUCUUGAACAUUCUUCAUUUAUUAAUAAAUAUAAUAACACAGAAAUGCAGCAUAACAUAUUAGCAUAAAAAAGGAGUAACAUAUCAUACUUUAGAUACUUUGCGAGAAGAAAGAGAGUUUUUAAGAAACUAAUUAAUCAAAACUUUAGAGACAUGUAGACUGUAGUUUAUGAUAGAUUAUCUUAAUUUAGAAAUUAGUGAACCUCAAAAAAGAAAAAUCACUCUAGACCAAAAUAGUUUAGUUUGUUAUUUUCCUUUGAGAAAGCAUAAUCAUAUUUUGUAUAGUGAAAAAGAUCCACAAGCCAAUAGUAUUAUAGAUCUUAUUAUUAGUCAAGCAGAAAAUAUAAAACUAGAAAAUAAUAUGCAUAAUUAUUUGUUAAAUUAGUUGUUAGAGCAUUUCAGAAAAAUUCCAUAAAAACAAUUAGACAAAAUUUAGAUUAUAUUACAUCUUAGUUAGAAGAUAAUAAUAAAAAUAUGCAAUGGUUUCCUUGCAAAAGAGAGAUAAAAGAGCUUAUUGACCUCAUAGAUAGUAAGUCUAAGCAAGUAGAACUUAGAUCACUAGAAAUAGUUGAGCAAUUAAAAUUAGAAGUUCAAAAAAUUCAAUUAGUGCAAAAAGAGUUGAGUGAAUAAGUAUAUAAGUUACAUGAUAAAAUAGAUAAAUUAUUCAAUUAGUACAAAAAGAGUAGAGUGAACAAGCAUUUUAAUAGUAUAAUUAUAAUAGUAAAUUAAGUACCUUGAGGUAAGAAGUCAUUAACACAACUGAUAUCACACACUUGUUUAAUUUUAUAUGAACAAUAGAUAUUUUUGUCUUUGUAGACCAUGUCAACCACAACCACCAUGUAUUUAUUAUCCUCGACAUCCAACUACAACUAGCAUAAAGAGAAUAUUAGCAUAUAUUUCCAAAAGAAUUAGCAAGAUUUUGAAUAAGUAGAAGUUUUAUCGUGGUUAUCUUGAACACCCUUCAUUUAUUAAUAAAUAUAAUAAUAUAGAAACGCAGCAUAACGUACUAGCAGCAAAACAGAGUAAUAUAUCGUACUUUAGAGACCUUGCGAGAAGAAAGAGAGUUUUUAAGAAACUAAUUAAUCAUAACUUUAGAGACAGGUAGACUGUAGUUUAUGAUAAAUUAUCUUAAUUUAGAAAUUAGUGAACCUCAAAAAAGAAAAAUCACUCUAAACCAAAAUAGUUUAGUUCGUUAUUUUCCUUUGAGAAAGCAUAAUCAUAUUUUGUAUAGUGAAGAAGAUCCAUAAGCCAAUAGUAUUAUUUAUUAGUGAAGCAGAAAAUAUAGAACUAGAAAUUAAUAAGCAUACUUAUUUGUUAAAUUAGUUGUUAAAGCUUUUUCAGAAAAAUUCCAUAAAAACAAUUAGACAAAAUUUAGAUUAUAUUACAUCUUAGUUAGAAGAUAAUAAUAAAAAUAUCAAAAGGUUUCCUCGCAAAAGAGAGAUAAAAGAUCUUAUUGAUAUCAUAGAUAGUAAGUCUAAGCAAGUAGAACUUAGAUCACUAUAAAUAGUUGAGCAAUUAAAAUUAGAAUAUCAAAAAAUUCAAUUAGUGGAAAAAGAGUUGAGUGAACAAGUAGAUAAGUUACAAGAUAAAAUAGAUAAAUUAUUCAAUUAGUGCAGAAAGAGUUGAGUGAACAAGCAUUUUAAUAGUAUAAUUACAAUAGUAAAUUAAGUACAUUGAGGUGAGAAGUCACUAACAGAACUGAUAUCACACACUUGUUUAAUUUUAUAUGAAAAAUAUAUAUUAUUUUCUUUGUAGCCAAUGUCAACCACAACCACCAUGUAUUUAUUAUCCUCGACAUCCAACUACAACUAGCAUAAAGAGAAUAUUAGCAUAUAUUUGCAAAAGAAUUAGCAAGACUUUGAAGAAGUAGAAGUUUUAUCCUAGUUAUCUUGAACACCCUUCAUUUAUUAAUAAAUAUAAUAACACAGAAGUGCAGCAUAACGUAUUAGCAGCAAAAAAGAGUAACAUAUGAUACUUUAUAGACCUUGCGAGAAGAAAGAGAGUUUUUAAGAAACUAAUUAAUCAUAACUUUAGAGAUAGGUAGACUGUAGUUUAUGAUAGAUUAUCUUAAUUUAGAAAUUAGUGAACCUCAAAAAAGAAAAAUCACUCUAGACAAAAAUAGUUUAGUUUGUUAUUUUCCUUUGAGAAAACAUAAUCAUAUUUUGUAUAGUGAAGAAGAUCCACAAGCCAAUAGUAUUAUAGAUCUUAUUCUUAGUCAAGCAGAAAAUAUAAAACUGGAAAAUAUUAAGCAUAAUUAUUUGUUAAAUUAGUUGUUAGAGCAUUUCAGAAAAAUUCCAUAAAAACAAUUAGACAAAAUUUAGAUUAUAUUACAUCUUAGUUAGAAGAUAAUGAUAAAAAUAUCCAAAGGUUUCAUUGCAAAAUAGAGAUAAAAGAGCUUAUUGACAUCAUAGAUAGUAAGUCUAAGCAAGUAGAACUUAGAUCACUAGAAAUAGUUGAGCAAUUAAAAUUAGAAGUUCCAAAAAUUCAAUUAGUGCAAAAAGAGUUGAGUGAAUAAGUAUAUAUGUUACAUGAUAAAAUAGAUAAAUUAUUCAAUUAGUGCAAAAAGAAUAGAGUGAACAAGCAUUUUAAUAGUAUAAUUAUAAUAGUAAAUUAAGUACCUUGAGGUAGGAAGUCAUUAACACAACUGAUAUCACACACUUGUUUAAUUUUAUAUGAACAAUAAAUAUUAUUGUCUUUGUAGACCAUGUCAACUACAACCACAAAGUAUUUAUUAUCCUAGACAUCCAACUACAAAUAGCUUAAAGAGAAGAUUAGCAUAUAUUUCCAAAAGAAUUAGCAAGACUUUGAAGAAGUAGAAGUUUUAUCCUGGUUAUCUUGAACACCCUUCAUUUAUUUAUAAAUAUAAUAACACAGAAGUGCAGUAUAACGUAUUAGCAACAAAAAGAGUAACAGAUCAUACUUUAGAGACAUUGCGAGAAAAAAAAGAGUUUUUAAGAAACUAGUUAAUCAUAACUUUAGAGAGAGGUUGACUGUAGUGUAUGAUAGAUUAUCUUAAUUUAGAAAUUAGUGAACCUCAAAAAAGAAAAAUCACUCUAGACCAAAAUAGUUUUGUUUGUUAUUUUUCUUUGAAAAAGCAUAAUCAUAUUUUGUAUAGUGAAGAAAAUCUACAAGCCAAUAGUAUUAUAGAUCUUAUUAUCAAUCAAGCAAAAACUAUAAAACUGGAAAAUAAUAAACAUAAUUAUUUGUUAAACCAGUUGUUAGAGUAUUUUCAGAAAAAUUCCAUUAAAACAAUUAGACAAAAUUUAGAUUAUAUUACAUCUCAGUUAGAAGAUAAUAAUAAAAAUAUCCAAAGGUUUCCUUGCAAAAGAGAGUUAAAAGAGCUUAUUGACCUCAUAGAUAGUAAGUCUAAGCAAGUAGAACUUAGAUCACUAGAAAUAGUUGAGCAAUUAAAAUUAGAAGUUCAAAAAAUUCAAUUAGUGCAAAAAGAGUUGAGUGAACAAGUAGAUAAGUUACAUGAUAAA
rnacentral:lncRNA from 1 species